CAAUAAAAGAGAAAGUCUGGGGUAGUCUGCAGAAAAGAUAUCAGGAUGAAAACCUUCAGAAAUUUCUGAAGGAGGCCACGAUGAUGGACCCACGUUUUAAAGGCAGGCUAGAUGGUGAGGCAGCUACUGACAUCUGGGACAGGUUGGAGAAGGCAGCAGUUGCAAAUGCCACAGCAGCAGUUGCACAGCCUCCCACCGAGGACCCCAAAGCACACAGCGAGGUGGAUGAUGCUGACAUGGACAAGCCAGAAAAAUAUGUAA